rnacentral:misc_RNA from 1 species
GGCGCAGUAUUCACCCAACCAUCUGAGUAGCCAUCUUGAAUAUUGAGUUUCAUUUGGUUCGUGGGAGAGGGGGUCGACGACGACGAAAAGUUUUAUUUUUCGCAAAAAAGUUGUUUUUUCCUCAGUAAAACGCGAAAUUGUUGAGCACGGAAUAUCCGUUCGAAAGAUAAAAUAAUUAAAAACAUUUGAUAGAAUCGUCUCCGUACGUGGUGUCCGUUUAAUCGGGAAGCGAGAAAAAGUCGCCGAGAAAAGUUGAGAAAGCAUUUCCAGUGGAAACAAUAAGACAUACUAAAUAUAUAUUUCAAAGAAUCAAACACAAUGACAGCUCCAAACGGGACUGCGCAGAUAGAUCCAUCUUUAUCGGCUCCGAAAUAUGGGACAUUAAUCCCAAAUCGAAUUUUUGUUGGUGGCAUCAGUAGUGACACCACAGAAUCAGAACUCUGCCGAGUAUUUUCGGCCUAUGGCAAUGUCAAAUCAACGAAAAUUAUUGUAGAUAGAGCUGGUGUUAGUAAGGGGUACGGCUUUGUAACAUUUGAAACGGAGCAAGAAGCUCAGAGGCUACAGAGUGAUGGCGAAUGUGUUGUCCUGAGGGACAGGAAGUUGAAUAUAGCUCCCGCUAUAAAGAAACAGACUAUCUGUGCGACAAAUGGUGCAGUAUAUUAUGCCGCUACUCCUCCGGCUCCUAUAAGCAACAUGCCUAUUGAUCAAUUCGCAGCUGUUUACCCACCAGGUGUGCCAACAAUAUACCCACCUUCAAUGCCGUACCAGCCGUUUUAUCAAUACUACAGUGUGCCAAUGAAUGUUCCCACCAUUUGGCCUCAGAACUAUCAAGGUAAUUAAGUUUACUUGGCAAUAUGUUACGUGUGUACACACAGGAUAUGAUUGUGCCGAUUGUUUUUCAUUUUGUUUCAACAGACAUACGUUCGUUAAAAAACCCCUUAUAAUGUAUUCUCGUCUUAUUGUUUGUAGAUUAGCUGAACUCUCCAUACUCCAUGAAAAUAAGCGCUUGAAUUUAAAUUUGGUAUUGGCUCUGAAAUCAAUUGUUCACCAAUAUAUUUUCUUAUUUUAGGUAUUUAUCCCUGUUAAGGUAGCUGAUGGUACUACUAUAAUUAACAAAAAAAAAACAAUUAACAACAAAACGCAAACAUGUAAUUAUAAUCAAAAACGACUUUGUUGUGGGUAUAAUGAGGCUACACCAAAGAUUGUUUGAUUUUGAGACACACACAAAGAGUAAACAGGAUUUUGUUUGUAAGAUAAACAGCUCUUAGACGACAAAAUACAAAAACGAAAUGCAUAUUUAUUAAGAUAUAUAUAUAUAUAUAUUUAUCAGUAAACAAGAAAACCUAAAUACAAAUGGAAAUCACUUCAUUAAUAACCUAGACUAUACAUAAAAGUAACUAGAUAAAGUUAGAUGAGAGUAAGAAGAUAAAACAUCUAAGUUAUAUAUAUACAAUUAUAAACACAUAUUAGUAGUAAAGGAGUAAUAAUAUAUUUGUAAAGAGAGCAUAGAAUAGAUAGAUGAAAUAUGUGCGUCGCGAGCGUUACAACGAGCAAAGCGCACGUGGGAGAGGUUCAAGAGAGGCGGAACGAGUGGCGCGAAAAUCGGCUUAAGCUCCGUCACGCGUAAAAUUACUUGAGAUAAAACUGUGCAACUGCAAGCAGAAUUUAAAAAUCAAAAUUAAAAAGCGAAACAACAUUCGUGUGUUAAAACAGCGGAUUGGUAACUAAUGUUAUUGUUGGUAUUAAAAUCGAACGAUAUUUAGAAACCGAUUAAUGAUUAAAGAUCACAGCGCAUUUCUUUUGAGAUGCCUCUUUUUUAUAUAUACAUUAUAAUUAAUAUAUACAGAAGUCAUUAAAACUCAUACAAAAAACUCUCAAAAUAUUAUUUAUAUAAACUUAUAUAUACAUAUAUUAAAUAAAGAUAAAUAGAUAUUGUUGAACGUAAUAAAGCAAUACAAUGCAUAAAAACAUGUAUAUAAAAGGAUAUACAUAAAAUAAAAAAUGUCGUGAUAUUUUGAAAAUUUAGAAUGGAAAAUACGUUGUUGACGAUUACGUUAAUGAAUAACAUAAAAUAUAUUAUUUAUUUAGAAGAAAUAUACUGAAAACAAGUAAACAGAAUACAUACAUAAAAAUAGGCUCUGAGAAUGGAAACUUCUAGACACUAAAUAUUGCAACAUAUAUUUACCUAUUUAUUUAUUGAGAGAAAAUACGAGAAAAAUACGGUAUAGUGAUAAUUUAACUUAAAUCAUCUAGAAAGAGACAGAGAGUAAAUCCAGUUAAACAGCCUAUUCGAUAAGUUGAAUUCUUAGAGAAAACAAAAUAAUUAGGAAUUAUACUCUAAACAAUAAUUGUUAAUUUAGUUCUAUGGUUUCACACGAUACACCUCCUUUGAAAGUUCAUUUCAAAACACUAAAUUAUCCUACAUUGAUAUUUGUUAAGUUAAUUUUAUGCUCGAUAUUUAGAACAGUUUGUUUUCCUAUACAGAUGACAAUAAUAUAUUUCUACUUGUUGAGUAAAAGUUGGAACUGUCUUCAUAUGAUACUCAACGUUCAUUCGAGAGCACUUGUUUUUUUAGUUCCUUCUUUGUUACGUCAACUGGCUAGGGAUGGGGUAAGGGACUUAUUUAGCGGGAAAGGCGGUUGCUUCAGCGAUAAAGUUAUUUAGGCAAGCAAGGUGGUGAUAUACCGACUUAGGAGUUGCAGUAAGAUCAGAAUUUAAGAGAAAUAUGCUUUCGGUAAUCCUUUUUUUGUUGAACUCAUGUUUGAUUGUUGAUAGGAGCGAAGAAACGAGACCUAUUCGUUUGAAGGAGAUCUAAUUCACUUGUUAUCUACUGCAUGCUGUUAGCCUUAUAUUGAAUCGACCCCACGGAUGGCGCACUUUCAGUAUUCGUUUAGGCGCAUUAAUUUGGAGAGUGAUUACUAUAAAUUCACCUUAGCCUCUCGUUCUGUUAGUAAAACACUUCAUCACAAAAAAUUAGCCUGUGUGCCUCGUGCUUCUUUUAGACUUUUUUGAUAGACAAGACUUAUCCAUCUUUUAGCGUUUUGACGAUUCACUUGCCAGGCUUUUUAGAUCAUGUAUCAAUUAAAAUUGGCAUAUUUUCUAAUUCGAAAAGCAUUCAAGCUUUGAAUGUAAGUGGUGGCCAGAAGUCUUUAGAGCAUUUUCUCGCACUGAAUCCACUAUGUUUGCCACAACACCUGUUAUGAAUCUCUGGUUAGUUUUAAUGUAUGGGAAUACGGGAGUAAGUAUUAGAAGCUUUGAUAAGAAGUACAUUUAAUUUAGGUUAGAAAAUGAUUUGACACAAAAUUUUCGGCUAAAUGUAUUGUUGUGUACGUAAGAUUUUUCCAUAGAGAUUUUUUAUUGCGCGCUAUUUGCUACCUUUAGGACUUAAUCUAAAUUUUAUGUUGAAAUAUCGCUCCGGGAAUGUUUGAGAACUUUCGGCGGUGGCGGGUUCACGACAUAUGUUGUUUGUAUCAAUUGAAGACAGUUUUCUUGUUAGCUAAGCUAACGAUUGAAAUGUAUCCCCAGCAGAUUUGUUUUAUUCAGUUGGCUUGAAUGUAUUUUCUUUUGAAGGUGUGAACAAACUAGAAAUCGACUGAUUUGCUCAAAUCGAUAAAAAUAAACAAAAACAAACAUGUAUAACUGCCAGGCGAGUGAAGACAAAAUAUGUGGGGGAUAUUGAAAAAGAAAAAUUGAAGACCCAAAUCAGAGACGCAAUAAGAAUGGGAAAAUAGCAAAUGAAAAGACUUUAAUUUUACAUGUUAAUAUGUAAGGUAUUUAUUAUUUAUUACUGUAAUAUUAUUUAGAGGAUAUGUUGGAUGAAGGCAAUAUGGGUUUAGUCAAUUAUGUUAUUGUUAUAUAAUUUUACACUAUUAUGUGAAUGAUAUUAUAUGUAAUUUGGAAGUGAACAUCAUUGAACAAACAAACAGACAUCAACAUUACAUUGCAAACAAGAUUAGAACUAUGUAAUUGAGAGAUUUCGUUUGGUUUCGCAUUUACCGUAUGAGGACAUUUCAAUUCAGUUAUGGUUAUGGUUUUGAAAUUUUAGUCGGCUUUAAGUUGUUUUAACGAGACGGAUCGAAAAUUAAAGUAAUAACUAAAAGUAGGACAUUUUUAGUUGGAUUCCCAUUUUAUUUCCUGUUUUAUGCAUUUGUAAUCUUGCAAAGGAACUUGAUUCUUCGUUUCUUGAAGCUAAAUCGAAAUUUCUCAAGCACAUGCCUACACUUUUACUCUAUAGAAAAAAUAAGGUUGUGUCAAAUUAGUAAUAAUAAAUAAAAUUGAUUUAAAUCUUACUAAAAAUGUAGAAAUAUACAUAAUUUUCAUGUAACAUACUACAGAAAAAAUAUUUAGUGUGAAUAAAAUAAUAGAAAAACUGUUGCAGAUAUUUGAGAAUACAACAAAAGUAUAUAUUUAUAAAAGGUAAUUGAAAAAGCAGGUGCUAUGUUUCGUUUCGGACUACACACAAAAGUGCAUUUUGUUGCCUUUUAUUUUAGUCACGGUGAAAACAAAAAUUCGAACAUUGUCUAGAAACGUAGUACUUUCUUAUCAAUUAGUCAAAUAUACAGAAUACAUGCAUACAAUAUACAUAGGUACAUAUUAUUGUUAUAAUUCUCUCGAGAAAUGUGAUCAACAAUUUAACACCUCUGUUGACAGAAGUGGAUUUAACAUUAACAUUUAAGAGUUAUAUACAUAUAUAUUCAAAACAAGUGGUAUAUUUUGUAAAUGUAACAAUAAAACAUGCAACGAAGCAAAAACAUAAAUAACUGAUAAAUGAAACAAUAAGAUAUUGAGAAAAACAAGCGACAUAAAUUCACGUAGUCUAAAAAGCUAAUUUUAAAUCCAUUAAUUCACAACUAUAAUUCAAGCUAAUGUUAAAAAUAUCCAUUAAAAAGAACAACUAAAUUCAAUACAAAUAAAAAAUUCCAAAAAUCGCCCAAAAUACGCAUUUUAAUUAAUACACAAUAUAUAUCAUAUUGAAUAUGAAACAUUGUAAAUCUUUUCUAAUAUUUAAGGAUACAAAGUAUGAUGUACCUUCAUUCUAAAUCUAAGAGCAAUUUCGAUCGAUUCUUGGCUUUGUUUUUUGCAUGGUUUAUUUCUUUAUGAGGUUCUUGUAGUGGACAUGGGUAUGGGAUGGCAUCCACUGGUAGUCAACUUCCAAAAAUGGUCCAGUUUCUACACAGUCUAUACGGACUAGUCAUGCAUAAUUAUUUUUGCAGUCCUUUAUUUCGCACUUCGGCUCAGUCUCCAAUUUUACUCAGGAAGCGUUGUAUCUUCAUAAUUUCAUUGCAGCUCCAAUACUGUUUCUGCGAGUAAUAUAGUUAAAGUGAAAGUUUUGAACUAUUGUCAGCUUUAAUUCCUUCUGCAUUCUGGAAAAAUUAUUAUUCUCUAACGUCCGCAGCAUAAAAUACGCAUUUCUUCCAAUAUUUUCAUGGCAACUUGCGACGCCUUCUUUUUAUAUUCCCUUAGACUACAAAUGCCAUCGGGAGGUAAACUUCCUUCCCCGUUUUUUUUUGUGUAAACCGUUGAAGUGGAACGAAGUUCUUGCUGCUUUCCUGGGUAGUAGUACACCAUCACCGUAUAAUAAGGUUAGCGUUCUUCUGAAUUUUUUUCUUUACAUUCUGAUUUAUUCAUAUCUUUUAUUUUGUUAAUUUCAGUUGAAAUUUUGUUGUUGGCAUAUAUUCUAAAAUCAGAACCGUUAAAUCCAACGAACAUAUGAAAAUUCCCCAUCAAAUAUUUUAACUAAUAAUAAGUUAUUUUGCAAUUUUCCUCUAGUAAUUAGUAGGCCCACUUAUCUAUUUGAACUCUUGAAUUAUUAAGAUAAAUAUGUAGCACGUAAUGCAUUAUUAUAAAACACUAUAAAGGUCUAUCUCUCAAAUAAUACAAAAGAAAAAAAUAUAAGCCUAAUGUGACAGAAAUUCUGUAUAAACCACAAAUUAAUAUUUUAGUCAAUUAGGAAAUAAAGUUAGUUAAAUAAUGGAAGCAAAAAAGGAAAAAACAAGAGACAGAAAUCGAAGCACAAUAUGAAGUUAGCUGUAAAUUUUAGUAUGAUAUAAACGAAAAGUGAUAAAUAGUACCGUAAAUCUAAUUGUAUUGUGAAUAUUUGCAAUAUUUGAACUUGAUGAACAUUUGUUUGACUUGCAAAAAAAAAACAUUGUCACAGUUGUGGAAUAUUCAACUGUUGUUUGUGAAGCGGUUGGUUCAAAAAGCACUCAAUACCAUAUUUCAACAACAAUAGUCAAGUAAUGUAAAGUAGUAAUACUAAAACUCAACAUUUUUAUUUGAAUGUGAACCGAAUACUUAUGCCGGUGUGACUUUUUUGGAUGUUAAACGGGUAGGGGUAGUAAAUCUGAUAUUAAUUUAUGACAAUAUUUGACUAUGACCAUGCUGACCCGAUACAAGGUGUAGAAACGGUCAAGUGAGAAAUUUUGUAUUUAAAUUUUGAUGCACUUUGGCGCCUUGUUACAGGAGAGAUGUAAUUGUCUAAUAAGGAAGUUGUAUACUUAUUUCGUUACUAACUCAAUCUGAUAGACGUUCGCCACUUAAUGAUUUUCGUGGUUUGUUCUCCCAAGUAUUACCGAUUGCUAUUUGCAAUUUGCGAACCCUCUGAGUGUUUGAAAAUAAAAAUUUGUCUGGUGGGUCAGCCUUGUUUGUAUGAUUGCAUUCAUAUUUCCCUGAGUAAAUGGCAAAUUGCCCUCGCCGGAUUAUCGUAAAGUGCUCCCCACUACUAUUUUUCCGUUGAAUUAAUAUUCUGUUUUUUGAAUUUCUUAUUUGGCUAUCAUCAACUAUCGCUGCAGAAACCGUUAAAUUUAUUGUCGCCUGACGGCUGACUAUUGACCAUUUCCCAUGGCCUGAUGUACUAAUUGUAGCGUCUAACGAAAGGCACGAAAACACUAGGAAACUUUCAAUCUAGGAACGCUGCCACGCCCGGAAAUGUUCUUUUCUGCUUUUAUUUAAAAAUGGCUUUUCAGAUGUUAACAUCUUUCUAUGGGAAGGCGAAACUGGAUAUGCAGAAUAUUAGCGGAAAAACAAAAUGUGUCGUACUUUACUGUCAGAGUUGCGCAAAUUAUUUUUGAAAUUGAAGAGAAGAAUGAAGUCUAAAUCCAAAUGUGUUUUGAACUUUUCCUAUUGGGAUUCAAGUUAUAAUUGAAAGUUCAUUUUAUCUAAUUAUGUUGUCUAUAAAACUUUAUCUUAUGACAAGGAGCCCAAUCUUCGUUAGGGUGGAGAAAUCGACCUCUUGAAAGUAAAACUCGGAAGGUGGUAUUUGCUGCUUAUUGGCUAUAUUGCCAAUCAGAGUAACUAGUUGUGAUUGAUUUUUGAGGAAAUACAUAUUUAUAUUCUGUGAUAAGUAUGGUGUAUCUGCGUGUGUCAUGUAUAUUCGAAGAGCGGAGAAAGAACUCUCUUGGGGACUUCCCAGGAUAGUCUCAACAGCACGAGAAGGUCGCAAAAAUGUGUCCUGCGCCAAUGCAGUGCGUAAAAAGAUAAGUGAUGGGGGGAUCAGGAUUUACGAAACAAAACAUCUGUCGCCAUUUUGCUGGCGUCUCCUUUGGCAAAAGUGCCAGAACCAUAAUAGACUCACUAAAACUCAGAAAUCCAAAUCCUGCAAUUGAGGACUUCAUUCCCAGGGGCAGACCCUUACUCAAUCUGUUCCACGUCAGUAUGCAGACUGCAGGCAAGAAGAGACCGAACAUUGAUGUUUUAGGCAGUAUUGAUUGCCUAUCGUUCACUCCUAUUGCUAACCUGCAAUUUCUGGUAAAAUCUUACUGUAUUCCUUUGAAUUUUUCCAUUUAAUCCAUUUACUUUAUAGGUAUAUGGUUAUAAAUACGGUAUGCACACUUUUCAUAAUGCAAUUUUUGCAUUUAAAAGAAUCUGGAUAUUCGCUUUAUGUAAAUUUCUUAGUUUCCUUCAAAAUCUAGUUCCUUCGUUAAACGCACGACGAGACGUAAGUGAAUUAUAUUGUCAGAGUAUGUCAUAUAUCUCGAUUCUGAAAUAUAUUUUUCGACUGCUUCCAAGUUUUAGUUUGCAUGGGAAUGUACAUAACAUUUGUGUUAUUCACGACGAUUUGCUAACUGCAUCCGAAUUCAUUGAGCACGCUUUGAAAACUUUUACUCUAUUUGCAAGCCAGAGUUCGUAGAAUUCUAUUAGGUAAAACAUCUACCAAAGUUUCUUUGCCAAUUCCAAUUGGCAAACAAGGGAACUUGUUGCUUAUUGAAGCCAAUGCCCAAAGCUUGCAGCAUUAGUGUCUUGCCACUGUGGCUGCUUGUUUGCAGGAUAAUAAAGUGAAAUUUUGCAAAAUUUCCAUUUUAGACAUAUACAUCUGAUGGUGUUCAAUCAGGAUGUUUAUAUUUCAGAUGAUGUUCGCGAAAGAUUUACUAAAUAAUAAUAGGGAAAAAAUUCUACCUCUGAAUAUAUUAAGCCCUUUAUCAACUUUUGGUAUAAAAUCAUUUUCCCCACUUUGUCUAAAUCGAACUAAUGCUUGUCAAUGACCGGAAUAGAUGCCGUUAACUUCUAUAGCUUGAAAGUUUUGAAAACCAGUAGGUCACGCCUCCUUCGUUACACCAUAAUGCGGCUCCAGGACUCAUCAAAAUAUUCAGAUUUGUGGUGAUGUCAUCGUUCUCUCUCCUCAGUCUCUUUCCACGUAAUCAUCUUUUUAGGUUAGCAAAUAGAAGUUUGGAGGUCUCAAAUCUGACAAUCGGAAGCUGAGGUAAUAAUUGUUCGUGUGAAUAAAUUAACGUGGAUUUUUUUUAUACUCCCCAGAAUUAUCGCUGCGUAUAUAUCUUUUUGGUCCAAUGGCAUCCGCUACCUCCAUUUUCCAUGCAUCUUUGUAACGUGCAUUGCAAUGCUGAAAAUUGAGCCAAGAGAUAUAUUUACGGUCUCAGUUGACUUACAUACUUUGGUGUUGUAGUCUUUUACAGCAAUUCGACGCAUUCUAAUGACUAUUCCUUUUGUGAAGGGCUGGCACGUCCCUUUGAGUACAUAUAGAACCAUUGGUACUGGUACGGCCCAAUUUAAAACCCUUCAUCCGAUUUUCCACUGUUGAAUACAACUGUACAGAUUCCCCCUAAUACGUAAAUAAUAAUAAUUAUCAUUUAUUUCAAAGGAGAUAUAAAACAAUGGAAAUAGGGCGUAACAUAAAACAGUCUGUUUGGAAAAAACCAACGCCGCAAUUACGGUGGUCAAAACCGCAACACCGAGCAGAUUAAAAGCGGAUACCAUUGAUGAUGAUUUCAGAUUAAUUCCCCUUCCCUGUCGCAUUUUAUACAUAGCAGGCUCAUAUUUUGUCUUUUCGUCAAAUCGUGGUAAAUUAUCGUCUCGCAUGGAAAGAGAAAUGGGGGCGGAUGUUCGCGAAGGAAAUGUUGCCUUUCCCCAAUUUUCAAGGUUUUUAAUUUUUCCACUUCGACUUAUUUUACUCUACAGUCUAUCUCGCCCCAUUCCAUUUAUUUCUUUGAAGUCCUUAUUUGCACCUUCCUCCUAAAAGAUUUGGCUUGGCUGUAUGCUUACAAUUUUCCGGUAUGAUGAAUUUUUCGUGUUUCCCUAUCUUGAUUCCGAGAAUGGUUUUACUGUUUCGGUACUCCCAUUGAGUAGAUCAUAACAUUUAACAUGAACUUUUCAAUAUUUUUUGCUCCUUGUUUUCCCAACACUCAUCUGAUAAAUAAAUAAACAAACCAUUUGCAGCGGGGGUAUUGUUUUUACAUAGUAUUUCCUUUUCCUUGCAUUCCAAGUCUUCUUCGUAGGCUUCAACACGAUAUAGCCACUAUAUUUCAGCACUAAGUAUAUUUGUGCCUCAAAAUGCUCCACUGACUCCAAAGACUGCCAAGCUUUUCUGUCGUAACGUGCGCCUUACCUUCUAAUCUCCGAAUCCGAUUUUAACCACCUUGGUAUUCUCAACAUUUCAUAUUUUUCUCUAAAAACUGUAGACAGUGGGGAAAAAAAUUAAAAAAAGAAGAGGUCUAAAUUGUUUUCUAAAUGCCGAAAACAAAUUUCAAUUUUUGAUGUGUUUACUACAUAUUUUCUUAAAUUAUACUCUCUGCUUUUGGGUUUAUUCCUUCUUGUAUACUAUUCCUCUGUAGUUGCUGGUCCAUAGUUUCUGCAAUAUUUACCACGUCUUCUUCACUGAUUUUAGAUUCUGCGUAGUUUUGGCUCUUUUUGAAUUCCAGUAGUGGCGCCCAGAUAAAUAUUGCCGCUUCGUUGUGAUCGAUUAAAAACGCCACUAACAGAAGAGCGAACUAAGAUCUACCAUGCAGGAUGCGUCGGCCAAAAUGACAAAAUGUUGGGAAACUGAUCGUGUAGCGUAGGUUUAUGGCAAUGACUGAUGAAUAUUUAUAUUUCUAAGUAAAAUCUACUGAGUGCAGUGCUGUUAUCAUUGUGUUGUUAGUCGAAAUCUGACUUCUGAAUAUUUUGGAUGUUGAAAUGCAUGCAACUAAAAUUGUUUUUUACUGUCUUGUUUAUACUAAACACAUCAGUUUUUCGUUAGUCCAUUUUUGAUGGAUUGACAUACGAUAGAUUGAAGAGGUACUGGCUUAAAAAAAUUACAAUAUACACUCUACACUGUAUCCUCUUUGUAGGCGCUAAAUGAAGACGCUGACUAAAGAAUAAUUUUCCUACAUAUGCAAGUCUCAAAGUUGUGCUAAAUGUUAUGGCUGAUUCUGAAGAGAGCUGAAACGUCAAUGGUGGAGCGUAGGCCUAGUCUACGGGCUAUACCCCACUCAAUGGUAAAUGGAAGUCAUAUAUAUAUGUGUAAGUUAGGGCUUGCGACAUCACCUUCACCGCCAACAAUAUUCUCUCAAUAUUAAUUGGCUAACUACUAUUAAUGGGCCAUCGAUCAGACUUGACUUUAAUCAUAUAAAAGCGAGGUGAUAUUUCUAUGACUGUCGUAAUUGGGUGAGAGUAUUUCCUUCCAUUGUAAGUUAUACGUGGAAUUUCCCUGUUGAUUUGGGCUGGCAUUGCUACCGACGUUUUUUAAAGUUUAGGUAUCAUUUGAAGGCACUUUUUUAUACUACGUUUAAAGGAGGAGCAACUGUUCAAGUUAUAGAGAUUUUGUCAGAUGGAGAAGUCUUUACAGUUGUAACGGUAGAGAAACAAAGGUAUUUCGAACAAUAGUUCAAUUUGGGAUUGAAUUUGAUUGUCGAUAUUUGCACUUUUAGGCAAGGGAAGUUUGGAGAGCACCCAUUUAAUAUUCAAAUAUAGUCACACAAAAGUAUAAAGGCAUAAGUACAGAUCACAUCAUUACCACCAUGGCGAUGAUACACAUGAAGCAUAAAGUAGUAUUUCUAUUCUCUCUAUUCUUUUGGAAUCAAAAACGUUGAUCUUCUAAAAGUUUUAUGACCUAAAAACAAUUACGGAAUUAAUACUGACCCGAAAUUGGGUUUUAAUAAAAUGGUUUCAACUGUUAUAUUGUUGAGUAUUUUCUAAGCAAAAAUUGUUUUUGAAAUAAGAGAGACAUUGUUAUUGUUUUAUUGUAGUAAUGAGAAAAGACGUCAAAAAAAACUUCAUCAAAAGUCUGAAAGAAAAUAUCAAACGAUUUGUUGUGAUAUGCGUUCUACUGAUUGCAUACGUUCUCCAUGCAAGCUUAUUUUGUUGGACUUGUUAUCAAGUAAAUUUGUUGUUUUCUUGGAGAUGGUGUUACAGUUCUUGUCAUCUCUGGGAAUCCUUGUACGAAUAUGUUCGUUGUGAAUUAUUUAAUUGAAUCUACCCAAUUAAUUUUCAUUACUUAGAAAGAAAAAACAAAUAAGCAUGCACAUUGGUUAUCUAAUCAGGAACGCUAGAAACUCCGUUUAAACGGAUAUUCUGAAAAAAAAACAUUUGUUACGCGAAAGCAUUCUUCAGAGUUGUGAUUUUCAUGAACGUAGUCUCACAAUCGCUGAGCUACUUCGACAUUCCAAAGCAUAUGUCGCCAAUUAAAAAAUGUAAAUUUGAUGUUCAGCACUAAACACUCUUUUGGUAGCAAUAUUGUAUCCACUCCAACCACGAAAUAUUUGAAAAAAAUCAACGAAACAAUGGCUCUAUUUCAGUGCCUUGGAAUAAAACUGCAUUCGAUUACCUUUUCGUAUGAUAUAUUGCUUCAUUGUAGAGAGUUUGGUUCCCAUUCAUUUUCUAAAAUACUUAGCAAUGCGGUUCUAUCUAAGGUGAAUUAUAUUCGUAUGUAACUCCAGAUACAAAUGAAUUGGUUGUUUUCUAGAAAACAACUAAAUUCUGGCAAUGGUAACAAGCUCUAUGUGAAAAAUACCAAAUUGAAUAGCAAUUUUCCAAGCACUAGCAACUUAAAAAUAUGCCCUAUUAACGGUAAUUGAAAAUUAAGAAUAUUUUGCAAUUUCCUCUCAUCUCUUUCUGCUCCGAAUUCCUCGGUUGUUCGAUUUAAAGUAAAAAAAGUAGCAAAAUCUCAAUUAUUAAGCUGUAGCAAAUAUAUUUGAAAUAUAAAUAUCUAUCCAACGAAAUGCAACAAUACGGGAUUUGGUAAGAAUACCCUAAAUUUAACGUCAGGUUAUAUUUCUAUCUUCGAAGUGAAAAAUAAUAGCAAUGCAAACUAUUCACAUUCCACUCUUUUCCGGUAGCACUUGAAAACAAAGAAAUCUUUCUGUGUUCUAAAUUAACGAAGAGAAACACUUAAAAUCAAAAACCAUAGAAAUCCAAAUUAUUCUAGAGAAAUGUAUAAGAAUCUACCAAUGUAUAUUUAGAUAAGUAAUUCAAGCAAUGUACAACUAUUUAAAAUUACCAUUGAAAAAAAAACUAAAAAUAUUUUUAAAUAUUAAAAGUCCCUUGGCGUCAUUAGUUUUAGGAUAUGGUAAUAUUAUUUAUAAUCCUAUAUAUUAUCUAUUAAACAUAUAAUACCAACAAAAAAUCUCAGUUAAUAACUAAGAGAAGGAAAAUGGAAAAUUCACAAAAAAAAAUAUUAUAAUCAGUCGAGAGGAUAUACAAUACCUACGUAGAAUGAGGAAAAAUAUGCAACAAGGGCCAUAAUGUAAAAUAACAGUAAUUAGAGAAAUAAAUACAUAAAAAUAAAGGAAAGCAUAAGUCUAUAUGUAGUCUAAACACAUGAAAGGCUGUAAUUUUAAGCAAAAAUAAACUGUUAGUAUGAAAUAAAGGAAAGUACUAACUGUAAUCGUAAAAUGAGAAUAAAAAUAUGAAAAAAAU